rnacentral:rRNA from 1 species
UACGUAGGGUGCAAGCGUUGUCCGGAAUUAUUGGGCGUAAAGAGCUCGUAGGCGGUCUGUUGCGUCGGCUGUGAAAACCCGGGGCUCAACCCCGGGCCUGCAGCCGAUACGGGCAGACUAGAGUUCGGCAGGGGAGACUGGAAUUCCUGGUGUAGCGGUGAAAUGCGCAGAUAUCAGGAGGAACACCGGUGGCGAAGGCGGCAUCCUGGACCGGCAUUGACGCUGAGGAGCGAAAGCCAGGGGAGCAAACGGG